rnacentral:tRNA from 1 species
GGGCCGGUAAGUCAACCCGGUAGACUGCGCCCAUGGCAUGGGCGAUGCUCAGGGUUCAAAUCCCUGUCGGUCCA